GAUUUCUGGUAUGGCGCACUUGGCCCGCCGAGGUUACUCGGUUGUGUGCCGGUGUGCGCCUGCCAUCCUUCUGGGGAACGGCUCUACCCUUCACUGGGUGGGAGUCGGUAUCCAGAUCGUUUACUUUGAAAAAAUUAGAGUGUUUAAAGCAGGCUGACGCUAUGAAUACAUUAGCAUGGAAUAAUAAUUUAGGACUUUGGUCUUAUUUUGUUGGUUUCUAGGACUAAAGUAAUGAUUGAUAGGGAUAGUUGGGGGUGCUAGUAUUCAGCGGCCAGAGGUGAAAUUCUUGGAUUCGCUGAAGACUAACUUAUGCGAAAGCAUU
rnacentral:rRNA from 1 species